rnacentral:rRNA from 1 species
GCUCUAUGCUGAGAGUCGAUAGCAAGCCAGUUUACUGGCGAAGUGGCCGAUACCAUACUUCCAAGAAAAGUCUCUAAGCUUCAGUUACACAGGAAUCGUACCCGAAACCGACACAGGUGGUCAGGUCGAGUAGACCAAGGCGCUUGAGAGAACUCUGCUGAAGGAACUAGGCAAAAUGGUACCGUAACUUCGGGAGAAGGUACGCUGCUGAUGGUGAUAGGACUUGCUCCUUGAGCUGUCGGCAGCCGCAGAAACCAGGCCGCUGCAACUGUUUAUUAAAAACAUAGCACUCUGCAAACACGAAAGUGGACGUAUAGGGUGUGAUGCCUGCCCGGUGCUGGAAGGUUAAUUGAUGGGGUUAGCGUAAGCGAAGCUCUUGAUCGAAGCCCCAGUAAACGGCGGCCGUAACUAUAACGGUCCUAAGGUAGCGAAAUUCCUUGUCGGGUAAGUUCCGACCUGCACGAAUGGCAUAAUGAUGGCGGCGCUGUCUCCAGCAGAGGCUCAGUGAAAUCGAAAUCGCUGUGAAGAUGCAGUGUACCCGCGGCUAGACGGAAAGACCCCGUGAACCUUUACUGCAGCUUGACACUGAACUUUGACCUUACUUGUGUAGGAUAGGUGGGAGGCUUUGAAGUAGGGACGCCAGUUCCUAUGGAGCCAUCCUUGAAAUACCACCCUGGUAAUGUUGAGGUUCUAACUCUGACCCAUAAUCUGGGUCGAGGACCGUGUCUGGUGGGUAGUUUGACUGGGGCGGUCUCCUCCUAAAGAGUAACGGAGGAGUACGAAGGUGCGCUCAGCGUGGUCGGAAAUCACGCGUAGAGUAUAAAGGCAAAAGCGCGCUUAACUGCGAGACCCACAAGUCGAGCAGGUACGAAAGUAGGUCUUAGUGAUCCGGUGGUUCUGUAUGGAAGGGCCAUCGCUCAACGGAUAAAAGGUACUCUGGGGAUAACAGGCUGAUACCGCCCAAGAGUUCAUAUCGACGGCGGUGUUUGGCACCUCGAUGUCGGCUCAUCUCAUCCUGGGGCUGAAGCAGGUCCCAAGGGUAUGGCUGUUCGCCAUUUAAAGAGGUACGCGAGCUGGGUUUAGAACGUCGUGAGACAGUUCGGUCCCUAUCUACCGUGGGCGCUGGAAAUUUGAGAGGAUCUGCUCCUAGUACGAGAGGACCAGAGUGGACGAACCUCUGGUGUACCGGUUGUGACGCCAGUCGCAUCGCCGGGUAGCUAUGUUCGGAAGGGAUAACCGCUGAAAGCAUCUAAGCGGGAAGCCUACCUCAAGAUAAGAUUUCCCUGUGACUUUAUGUCACCUAAAGAGCCGUUCAAGACCAGGACGUUGAUAGGUUGGAUGUGGAAGCAUAGUGAUAUGUGAAGCUGACCAAUACUAAUUGCUCGUGAGGCUUGACUAU